UAAUAAGUCUACUAACGCACAACAGUGGAUGCCUUGGUCUUUCCAACCGAGAAAGGACGCGCAUGGCGGCGAAACUCGUCGGGGAGCUGUCACGAAGCUUUGAUCCGGCGAUAUCCGAAUGGGGCAACCCACCUUAAUUCGUUAAGGUAUUUAUAUCCCAAGUAAUCCUGCUUGCAGGGUUUAUUAAGGUAUAAAGGGGAACCUGGGGAACUGAAACAUCUAAGUACCCAGAGGAAUAUAAAUCAAUAUUGAGAUUCCGUAAGUAGCGGCGAGCGAAAUCGGAACAGCCUAAACCGCACUCAUGUUCUUUUAGAAUGUGAGAGUGGGGUUGCAGGAGCCCAAUGUGGUAGUUAUUGCGGUAGCAAAAAACUCUGGAAUGAGUUGCCAUAGAAAGUGAAAGCCUUGUAUGCGAAACCAAAAUAACACCUAGGGAUUUCCUAAGUAAUACGGUCGACAACUCCGUGUGAAUCUGGGGGAACCAUCCUCCAAGGCUAAAUAUUUGGAAAGGACCGAUAGUGAACUAGUACCGCGAGGGAAAGGUGAAAAGAAGGGCGAGACGCCCAGUGAAAUAGUAACUGAAACUGUGUGCGAACAAACCGACAAAGCCAUAUUUAUGUGGUGAUGUCGUGCCUAUUGAAGAAUGAGCCAGCGAGUAAUCGCAUACUGCAGCUUAAACUCUUUUAGAGUGAAGGCAUAGCGAAAGCGAGUGUGAAUAGCGCGAUUGUAGUAUGUGGUUGACCCGAAACCAGGUGAUCCAUCCAUGAGCAGGGUGAAGCCUCGUGAAAACGAGGUGGAAGCCCGAACCGGUUCAAGUUGCAAUUUGUUCGGAUGACUUGUGGAUAGCGGUAAUAUGCCAAUCGAACCUGGAGAUAGCUGGUUCUCCCCGAAAGGUCUUUAGGGACCGUGGCACUAAAAAGAGCAUUGGGGGUAGAGCUACUGGAUGGGACAACAAGGGGUAACCCGAGUUGUUUCAACCAAACUCCGAAUACCAAUGUGUAAAGUGCUAGACAGCCGUGUGGGGCUAAGCUCAUACGACAAAAGGGAAACAACCCAGACUCUCAGUUAAGGCCUCUAAAUUUUGACUAAGUUUAAAAGGAAGUCAUGUUCCUUAGACAGCUAGGAGGUUGGCUUAGAAGCAGCCAUCCUUUAAAGAUAGCGUAACAGCUCACUAGUCGACUGGAGCGUGGCGCCGAAGAUUUAUCGAGGAUUAAGUCAAAUGCCGAAGCUGGAGAUGUUUGUGCUUAUUUUUAAGCGCAAACGUGGUAGGGGAGCGUUCCAAGGGCGGUGAAGGUGAAUCGUAAGGUUUGCUGGAGCGCUUGGAAGUGAGAAUGCUGGCAUGAGUAGCGUACAAGUCCGGUGCGAAUCCGGACCGCCGAAUACCCAAGGUUUCCCCGGUGAAGUUCGUCUCCCGGGGGUUAGUCGGCUCCUAAGGCGAGGCCGAAAGGCGUAGUCGAUGGACAAUUGGUUAAAAUUCCAAUACUUAUUUUGAAUCGCCCACUCGCUUUACAGCGAGAGCUGGGGAAUGACCAAGCAGGAUAUCUAAAGCCGCUUAUUGAAUUGCGGUACAUAUUGUAAGGUAGAACUACCUGGAAAAUCCGGUAGUUUGUUUACCUGCGCAAGCAGGUAUAUCGUCGAGCAACGUGUAAAGUCUUAUGAGAAUAGGGCAAUUUUAGACCAUUCAGCUUGCAGGAAAAGUUUCGCAGCGAGAUUCAAAUUAAGCCGUACCACAAACCAACACAGGUGGGUUAGUCGAGUAGACUAAGGCGAUCGAGAGAAGGAGGGUUAAGGAACUCGGCAAACAAGCUGGACGUAACUUAGGGAGAUGUCCUACCCCGCACUAUUUAUAGAUGUGGGGUCGCAGCGAAUGAUUGUUGGUCGACUGUUUAUCAAAAACACAGGUCCGUGCAAAAGCGUAAGCUGAAGUAUACGGGCUGACGCCUGCCCAGUGCCGGUAAGUUAAGUGGAUGGGUUUUUCCAGUCUUCGGAUUGGAUUGGCUUUGAAAUGAAGCUCCGGUAAACGGCAGCAGUAACUAUGAACGCAGAUUGUAGUUAUAAAAUUUGGCUAUAUGCUGGAACAUCUUGACAGGUCAUUCGUACUGCUGAUUAAAUAAAGUCAGUAGUAAAAAUCGAAUGAAUAGAGACAAUCAGCAGGAAAGAUCAAAACAAAACAUUAAAGUUCCUGAACGAAUUGGUUGGUAUUUUGCAGGUUUUAUUGAUGGUGAGGGAAGUUUUAAUAUUUCUCUCCGGAAAAAAUCUGAUUAUAAACAACAAUGGCAACCAGUGUUGUCAUUCAAUGUUUCUCAAAGAGAAAAAACAGUCUUAACUUUGAUGCAACACUAUUUUCAGUGCGGAAUCAUUAAAAAAAGAAAAGACGGUUUACAUUCCUUUGAUAUAACAAAUCCAAUCGAAAUUCAGGAAAAAAUUAUUCCUUUUUUUACUAAAUAUAACUUUCUCUCAAGUAAUAAAAAUCAUAAUUUUAAGCUUUUUAAAAAAGCCGUCAAAAUUAUGUAUAAAAAAGAGCAUCUUAACAAAGAUGGUUUGAUUAAAUUACUUGAAAUAAGAGAAAAUCUAAAUCAGGGUAAAGGAAGAACAAGAAAAUAUUCGAUUAAUGACGUUUUGGAAUCCUCAGAGACUACACGCCAAACAUCACACAAGUGAUGAUGAUAUAGUCCGAUCCUUAUGGAGACAUAAGGAACCUAAUAGAAAUGUUUAGGUCUUCGAGUAAUUGAAUUACUCUAAAGUAACAAAAAUGAACUGUUCUACGGUAGCGAAGUUCCUUGUCGGGUAAGUUCCGACCCGCACGAAUGGCGUAACGAGCUAACAACUGUCUUAACCCUUCACUCGGCGAAAUUGCGUUGGCUGUGAAGACGCGGCCUACUUCCACCAGGACAAAAAGACCCCGUGAAGCUUUACUGUAGUCUGGCAUUGAGUUGUGUAUUUUAAUUGUUUAGUGUAGGAGGGAGCCUUCGGGCAAAAAUGAAACACCUCCCUUUGAAAUGCGCAAAUCUAUAACCUAAUAACCAUGAACACUGGUUAAGGGAAAGUGUCAGAUGGGCAGUUUUACUGGGGCGGUACCCUGCUAAAGUGUAACGCAGGGGUACAAAGGUUGGCUUACCGCCGAUGGAAACGGCGGUGUAAGGGUAAAGCCAUAAGCCAGCUUGACUGCGACACCGACGGGUGGAGCAGGUGCGAAAGCAGGUCUUAGUGAUCCUCCGAUGGGCAAUGGUUGCCCACGGAGCUUAACGGAUAAAAGCUACUCCGGGGAUAACAGAGUAGUCGCGCCCGAGAGUUCAUAUCGACGGCGCGGUUCGCUACCUCGAUGUCGGCUCAGGAUAUCCUGGCGCUGGAGAAGGUGCCAAGGGUUGGUCUGUUCGCCCAUUAAAAUCCUACGUGAGCUGGGUUCAGAGCGUCGCAAGACAGCUGACGGUUUAACAUUUAACCGUGACAUCCAAACUGUCUUACCUUUUAGACGCUCAUGCAAACAUGAACCAAAUUAAUCUUUUUGUCCAAAAAGAAUAAAGCUUUAACGCAAAGCUUAAAAAAAAGAAUGAAAGGAUAUAAAUCUGGCUAUAUGCUAGAAAGUCUCGCAUAAACUUACGAUACUAGUAUGGAAUUAAAGUAUUAGUGAAAAUUCGUAAACUGAGAUCAUUAGCAGGAAAGACUCCAUCAGUUGGAGAAUCCCCACAGGCCAUACGCCAGAUACUAUUUACAUAAUGUAUUUAGUAAAGACAUGGUCGGACCCCUAUGGCGACAUAGGGAGCUAGCGAGAAAAAAUAAAUCAGCUAGCCAUAUAUAACAAUUAUGUAACAAUAAUGUCGGACUCUAUCCGGUGGAAGCGUUUGAGUCUUGAGGAGAGCUGACCUCAGUAAACAAUGCUGCUCCUAAUAGAAAUAUUAGGAUGUCACUUGCUCAAAUUGGUGAACUCCUCUAUACAUAAAGUAUAGAUUGUUGGUCCUGUUAAUAUAGAGGACAACACCAAGGGAAGACUUAAACUCAAUGACAUCUCAGCAAAGAGCAUAUUUAGCAGGUUUUUUAGAUUGUGAUGGUAGUAUUAUGCUACAACUAAGAGCCAGAAAUGAUGUUCGUUUUAAGUAUCGGGUGAAAACCACAAUUUGUUUUUACCAAAAAACAAAACAUAAACUCGUACUUGAAGAAUUAAAAAACAUCAUUGGUUUUGGUUACGUAUAUGAUCGUAGCGAUGGUAUGACUGAACUUCGAAUUGAAGGUCAUGCCAGAGUUAAAUCAGUACUUACAAAACUCAGAAGGUAUUUAAAAAUUAAAUAUCUUCAGGCAAAUCUUAUGUUAAAGGCAGUAAAAUACCAGGAAACAAAUAUAAAAACACCUGAAGGCUUGCUACAAAUCAGCAAAAUCGCUGAUAAAAUUUCAAGCUUAAAUAAUGCUCCAAGACAGAGGAAGAAUCAUUAUUCUUCUGUUAAAGCUGAUUUAAUAAGUCAUGGUUUAAUGUCCCCUUAACGACUGAAUUUUCGUAAAAUUCUACGAAAUGAAGAUGAGAUGUUUUUGCUAAUUUAUUAGCAAAGUUUAUAACACUCAUAACACGGCAAGCAUCUAACCCUCAAAAUUGUGUGCGAGGUAUGAUGAAGGUAUAGUCUAACCCUUUGGUAACAAAGGACAAGUUGACGAGAGGACCAGGUUGGGGGAAUCCCUUGUGAUCCGGUUGUCAUGUCAAUGGCAAAGCCGGGUAGCUACAUUCCCAUGGGAUAACCGCUGAAAGCAUCUAAGUGGGAAGCCCACUCCGAGAUUAAGACUCGUUAUAAGCGAAGCUUGCAAAAGCUUUGCUUUUAUAGACCCCUAGGAGAACACUAGGUUGAUAGGCAGGAAGUGGAAGCAUAGUAAUUUGUUAAGCUUACCUGUACUAAUGGUCAAUUGACUUUUUACG
rfam:Candidatus Woesebacteria bacterium RIFOXYB1_FTLL_38_16 rifoxyb1_full_scaffold_741, whole genome shotgun sequence.